rnacentral:rRNA from 1 species
CGGGGUGCAGCAGGCGCGAAAACUUUACAAUGCUGGCAACAGCGAUAAGGGGACCUCGAGUGCCAGGUUACAAAUCUGGCUGUCGUGAUGCCUAAAAAGCAUUGCAUAGCAAGGGCCGGGCAAGACCGGUGCCAGCCGCCGCGGUAACACCGGCGGCUCGAGUGGUAACCGUUAUUAUUGGGUCUAAAGGGUCUGUAGCCGGCCGGAUAAGUCUCUUGGGAAAUCCAGCAGCUCAACUGUUGGGCUUUCAGGAGAUACUGUCUGGCUCGAGGCCGGGAGAGGUGAGAGGUACUUCAGGGGUAGGGGUGAAAUCUUGUAAUCCUUGAAGGACCACCAGUGGCGAAGGCGUCUCACCAGAACGGACCUGACGGCAAGGGACGAAAGCUAGGGGCACGAACCGGAUUAGAUACCCGGGUAGUCCUAGCCGUAAACGAUACUCGCUAGGUGUCGGCCACGGUGCGACCGUUGUCGGUGCCGUAGGGAAGCCGUGAAGCGAGCCACCUGGGAAGUACGGCCGCAAGGCUGAAACUUAAAGGAAUUGGCGGGGGAGCACA